GAGCUGCAAGACAUUUAAGAGAUCACAUCUGAUUCGCAUUUGUAUCUGAUCACAUCAGAUUCGUAUUCUAUCUUUAUUUGAUCUGUUUACAUCUCUAUUUUUCUGUUGUGAUCGAGCUAGGUUACAACUGACAAAUUUUCCAUGAAUUUCCAUUUGUUGAAGUUAAGACAAAAAAUGAAAAUUUUAUCACAAUAUUCAUUGUUGAUAUUGGCAUUCUUGUUAAAGACAAAACAUCUAUAGGCUGCAAUAAGGAUUUUUCCAAUUUAAGUGUAACCUACUGCAGGUUACAAUCGACCAUUUUUCCAUGCCAUUCUUCCAGGAAAACGAAGUUUCAAAUAUAUAAAUUAAAAAAAUGAAUAAAUAAAAAAUUUUGUAUUAUUUUUAUUAUUAAGGUGUAAAAGGAAUUGCAUCUCCCAGGAUCCAUCUAGUAUAGUUGGAAAUUCAAAUUUUUAAUCGGGUUACUCGUCCAAGUCAAGUAACAAAAACAUGAAAUCUUAUCAAGAGUCGUGAAGACUCACCGAAGUUUAAGAAAUAAAUAAAUAGAUCAAGCUUGAGUCGGUCUGGGAUUUUAUCAAUUUAGUAUUUUUACCUGAGUCAUGUGAAACUAAUCGAGUCUGUUUUAUUUUUACUUGACCAAGGUUGAGUUAGACAAUUAUCUUACUAUAGGCCAACCAUGGUAGGAUUAACCGUUAUUGGUAGGGUUAACCGUUACAAGAUCGGCCAUCUUUGCCUGGAUAAUGAUCGGCCUAUCAAUGGCAAGCAGGUCCACAUCAGUAAGGAAAUCAACUAACUAGCCAAUAGGAGAAACCACCUACCUCUAUAUAAAGAACACUUAAUAGAUUUUUAGGGUAAGACUCUCAAAACUCUACCAACCUUUCCUUUCUUACUCAUAUGGGAAUUGACUUAGGUAUCGGAGCCUCUAUCCUGGAAUCCCCUCCAAGUUGGUUUCUAAUGUGUGUGUUGCAGUUCUGAGCUAAGUAAGAAUCUACAACCAAAAAGACCAUUAAAGCAACAUCUAUGCUUGCGAAUGAGAGAACCCUAAGCAGAAAGCCACAUUCUCUCUCUCUCCCAAUGUUUAAAUGAGGCCCCCAUUGGUAAACUCAGGUCCAGCCAGAGGAAGCACAGAUCCCAAGAGUGGGUUUGGCAUCUCGGUGCUAUAAGAUAGUUCCACAUCGUUAAGCCAUAAAUAUUUUGCCCACUUCAUGAAAUAAGAGUUCGAUAGGCGUGCUGUCUCUUCGGAGACAUCCGAUAAAAUUGGAACGAUACAGAGAAGAUUAGCAUGGCCCCUGCGCAAGGAUGACACGCACAAAUCGAGAAAUGAUUGAACUUUAAACGAUUCAGUCUCUCUUGCGUUCGGCCCCCCCACACACAGGCACGUAGUUGUGGAGCUUGAUAGCAUCUGAAUAUGGAAAUCCAACUAUGGAAGAUGAAGUAUUUGAUGUAGCCUUGUUCAAGAAUGAGGGAGGAAACCCUUUUGAAGGAGGCGCCAGGGCUAUUAUGUUUGGAGCGCAGCUUGCGGAAAGGAAAGGAGCGCGUCUAAAAGAAAUAUGGACAAAUUCAGAGUUCGACCAGCAACUCUCUUUUGACUUGGGAAACCAUUUUUUUGGCCUCUAAAUAUGGCACCCAUUUUUUUGAAUGUAUAUAGAUCAAUGAAUGGUGUAACAUGUAGAUUGCUACCACAGUCAGAUCAGGAAUCACUUUUUGCAUUUAUCGCAGAAGAAACCCUAGCAAACGGUAGAAUUACCACUGCUAACUUUGUAAAUGCUUCUACUACUUAUUGGUUCAGUUUUUCUCGU